CGCGCUUCGGAUUUAGCGAAUCAGACGGCGCAUAUUACAUCAGCAGAGGGUGGAGAAAGUUCUGUCGUGAUAACAGAUGCACCAACGGAGAUUUGUUUGUGUUCAACGUGGUUGGAGACGGGACGACAACUCCAUUACUGUGUGUAUGUCCGGAAAGGAAGGAGUGUACUGAACUACUGAUCAAGCACUUCAGCAGAAUCGAUGGUAGCAUUGCUUCUACCUCACGAAAUUAGAUGGCUCUUUUGCGGUCUUUCCUCUCUAUCAUCUUAACUUGUUUCCUUUUGUUUCAUUAGCAACUUAUCAACUUAUGUGUUUCGGUUUGUAAAACUUGAAUGGUUUUUCUAUGUGAACUUUUAUCCUAAGUUAAACAUUCUCGAACUUAAUUCCUUUGUUGAAUGCGUAGACUGAUCAUCGAACAAAAUGUUUCUAUGAAUUGAAUUUAAGUUAAGAAACAACAUAAACUCCAAAACUCUAACAUAGCUUUUCUACAUCUGAAAACACAAACCAAAAUAUUAAAACAUAUCUCAAAACCAAAACUUAAACUCCAAAACUAAAACAUAGGUUGAAUAAAGUGUUUUCAUAAAUUUUAUAAUAUAUUUUAAUAUUUUAUUCAUGUAUUCUGAAUAAUUUUAAAUUUAA